rnacentral:rRNA from 1 species
UACGUAGGGGGCUAGCGUUGUCCGGAAUCAUUGGGCGUAAAGCGCGUGUAGGCGGUCCGAUAAGUCCGCUGUGAAAGUCGAGGGCUCAACCCUCGAAUGCCGGUGGAUACUGUCGGGCUUGAGUACGGGAGAGGCGAGUGGAAUUCCUGGUGUAGCGGUGAAAUGCGCAGAUAUCAGGAGGAACACCGAUUGCGAAGGCAGCUCGCUGGAACGUUACUGACGCUGAGACGCGAAAGCGUGGGAGCAAACAGG